rnacentral:misc_RNA from 1 species
GAUGAAGAACGUAGCGAAAUGCGAUAAGUAAUGUGAAUUGCAGAAUUCAGUGAAUCAUCGAAUCUUUGAACGCACAUUGCGCCCGCCAGUAUUCUGGCGAGCAUGCCUGUUCGAGCGUCAUUUCAACCAUCAAGCCCUGCUUGUGUUGGGGUCCUGCGGCUGCCCGCAGGCCCUGAAAACCAGUGGCGGGCUCGCUAGUCACACCGAGCGCAGUAGCACAUCUCGCUCAGGGCGUGCGGCGGGCUCCAGCCGUUAAAGCACCCACCUUUCGCAAGGUUGACCUCGGAUCAGGUAGGAAUACCCGCUGAACUUAAGCAUAUCAAUAAGCGGAGGA